CAGCCAUUUUCAGAUCUCUCCAGAAAUGUUCAAUCGGAUUCAGAGUUGUCCUGAAGCCACUCCUUUGAUAUCUUGGCUGUGUGCUUAGGGUCAUUGUCCUGUUGAAAUGAUGAACCAUCGUCCCAGUCAGAGGUCAGGAGCGCUCUGGAGCAGGUUUUCAUCCAGGAUGUCUCUGUACAUUGCUGCAUUCAUCUUUCCCUCAAUCCUGACUAGUCUCCCAGUUCCUGCCUCUGAUAGACAUCCCC